UCCUUGCCCAAUCCCCUCAUCCCACACCAGCUGAACCCUAGCCCCUUUUCCCCGAUCCCCACAGCAGCCGCCUCCUCUCCUUUCCCCUACGCCGACGGCCUUGCCUCUUCGCUCACCUCCUCUUCUCCUCUUCCAUGCCGCCAUGGUUCCAGAUUGGGCGCAGGUCGCCGUCGUGCGAGAGCAGGGCAGCGGGGUUUUCGCGGAGGAGUGGAGGGGGAGGAUGCGGACGACAGGGCGAAGGAGGUGGCUGGCGAGGAGGACAAGAAGCAGGGGGGAGGAGAAGGGGGAUGCCUCGCACACCAUCCUCCUCCCCGCGGCGGUUGGCUGGUCGACUCGUCGCGCCACCGCGUCCUCACCUCCUCUGCACCAUAGGAGGCGCUGCCUCUGCCUCCAUCCCUGCUUCGUGCUUCCUCCGUCCUUGGCACCACAGCUGCCGGUCCACUCCCUCCUCCUCCAUCCUCACUCCCUUGUCAGCCACCGUCGCACGAACCUCCCUCGUCUGGGCCGGGAAAGAAGGCCAUGGCGAAUCUUGCGCCUCUAGAAGCAGCAGCAGGGGUUGGUGGAGCGUCUAAUACGGGCGGGGUCAACGGUUGAGGGAGGGUUGCCCACCGGAGCAGCAGGAGAAAGACCUUGAGUGAAGCUGCAUCGUCCAACGUAGCGAGAUGAAGUACUCAGAAAAAAUUGCAGCAAGUGCGAUUGAUAGUAAGGGAAUUGAUUUGAUUCGGAAUCUUCCCUUCUUCAGUGUCAACGAACAGCGUGAGAUGAGAUAGCUGCAAAGGUGGGGCCAAAUAAUCCUAUGGUAGCAGCAAUAGUCAGCCCAUGAUAAAUCUCUGGUAAGUGCUCCUUUCUCUUUACCUCUUUACUCCCAUGUCACAGGUCUGACGACACACCAGAAAUUGCCAUGUAGUUGCAUGGCUGUCAAAGAGUCUAAGCAUGUGAAAGUUGGGUUACCUCUAUAUUUGUAAGAAUUGGAACUUGGUACGGUUUUGCAAAAUAAGAUGGUAGCUCACAUUUUCUGGAUGACCCAAUGCUUCUUUGGUGAAAUUUGAUCAGCCUUACAUAUACAUUUGAAAUAUUAUGCUGUAUACAGUUCAUCAGGCACUGGAAUUUGCCGGACAUUAAUGUUUCUGUUUUUUAUCUGUUUCUUAUUUUCCGAGUCACAUCUCUGCAAUGUUUCCAAUGAGGCAAGGACUACUAUUUUCCUCCUUGCAUGCCAAUUAUUUGAGAGACAAAUAAAUAUUGUUGUUGGCCUAUGAAUUAUCACAUUAUUCCCCUGAUUCUUUUUAGAUCAUUUUGUUUUAGAGUUUUUGUUUCUUGAAACCUCAAAAUAGUUACUAGCAUCUUCUCCAUGUUGCAUCAUUUUAUAGUGACAAUCAGGAGAUAUAGCUGAUCCUUCAUUUAUCUUGGAACCUUAUCCAAACAUUUGAAAAUGAAACUAAAGCUAUGUACAGAGAGAAUGUGUAGGCUCUCUUCCUGGGCAUGAACUCCGGUAUGCCUAUUACGAGUGAGACCACUUCACUUUGCUUCCAAUAUAGUAGAUGGCGGAAGUGGUGCUCUUAUAUACAACCGCUAGAGAAGUAUAUGUAGCAUUUCCUCUGUAGAAAGGAAUGCUAUUUUAGCUGGUUGUGAGGUUUGAACCUUUCAUUUCCGAAGAGAACCGAUGAUCUUCCUUCGCAAGUUUAUUUUUACCUAUGUAUUAUUGUCAUGCUCCCAUUGUUUGGGUGAUUUACCUAGGCUAUGCACACACAUAUAAUAUUGCCAUGUUCCCCUUAUUCAUCACCGAACAUUGCUGCCAAAUUGAUGUUUUUGUUGCUCUAUACAUUGGUGUUAUAGACUGCCAUUUGUUUAGUCGAACAAUUUGCCAAACUGAUUUUCCAUUACUCCAUGUACUGGUGUUACAGACUGCUAUUUGUUUUGUCCAUCUUAGUAAUUCAUUUGGUUUACAUUCUCAUGAUAUAGAUAUACACGUGCCCCUUUCCUAUUUUAGCUAUCAUUUGCCAACCUCCAUUAUAUGACUAUGCACAUGUGUUCCUAUAUACAAAUGUGAUUAAACGACAUGUUACCUCAAUGCCAUUUGUGAAGAACAAAUAUGUGGCUCAGGAGGGCCUGGUUGACGUAUGCGGUCAUCAGGAGUGGCCACAUUGUUUGGUCCUCAACAAUUUUGAAUGAAGACUCGUGGACUUUACCAUUGCGAAAUCAUGUGAGCAGAGGUGUUCCAGGAUUCUUUGGAAAGACAUGUAUACAUGCCAUGUGUCCCGCUAUCAUUUUUUGUCUUUGUGAGUUGUUGAAAAGAUCUUAAGAUGUUUGAUUGGUCAUUUCAACUCAGGUGAAGUUGUUAGGAUGAUUAGGUAGAAGCUUAUGCCAUCUCAAAAAAAAAAAGGUAGAAGCUUAUGCAAAAUCUAC